CAUCGGUCCCAUGACUGGCGGAAGUGGCGUUUACCCCAGGGAAUGUGACCGCAGUAUUGGCGACCGCCUGGGUACCAUGG
rnacentral:ncRNA from 14 species